UACGGGGGGAGCAAGCGUUGUUCGGAUUUCCUGGGCGUAAAGGGCGCGUAGGCGGCGCAACAAGUCACUUGUGAAAUCUCCGGGCUUAACCCGGAGCGGCCAAGUGAUACUGUCGUGCUAGAGUGCGGAAGGGGCUACUGGAAUUCUCGGUGUAGCGGUGAAAUGCGUAGAUAUCGAGAGGAACACCUGCGGCGAAGGCGGGUAGCUGGGCCGACACUGACGCUGAUGCGCGAAAGCCAGGGGAGCGAACGGG
rnacentral:rRNA from 1 species